ensembl:lncRNA
UGCCGAGCAGGUGGCGCGCACUCCCCGCCCCUGGUCGCCGCCCUGCCCGCUCCGGCCCCGCAGGCGCUCCCGCUCCCCGGCCCGUCCUGUUCCAGGCGCUUCCCUCCCCAACUGAGCGCGGGAGGCGGCAGCCCCGGACGACGCCUGCCCCGACGCGGGAAAGAGAUUUCUGAGCCCCCAACCACGUAGGUUACUGCACCCAGCGGAGUGCGGUCGCUUUUUUGGGGUUGGGUUCUGAGAGGGACCUUCUGAGGGACCUCGGCUGGUGGCUGCGUCUUGACGGCCUGGGAGGGAGCCGCAGGACCAAUAGCGGGAGAGGAGCUUAGACCAGAAUCUAGAGCCCCUCCUGGGUUCUGGUGGUGGCUCGACAGCCGAGUCAUCUCAGAUCAGCCCCAGCCUGAGGGGGCAACAGCCAGUUCUCCUCUUUUGUAAAUUUUCAAAUGGUGAUGGAGUUGACCAAGUAAUCUGAACUAUCUCUUAUGACUGAAAUCUAUGGACAUGACAAUGUCUACUCAUUUUAAGGGGCUUCCCUGGUGGCUCAGACGGUUAAGAAUCCGCCUGCAAUGCGGGACCCCUGGGUUCGAUCCCUGGGUUUGAAAGAUCCCCUGCAGAAGGGAAUGGCAACCCACUCCAGUAUUCUUCCCCGGGGAAUUCCAUGGACAGAGGAGCCUGGCGGGCUGCAGUCUAUGGAGUUGCAGAGUCGGACCCCACUGAGCGACAGUCACACAGGAAGAACUAAUAUCCUGGGGGAAAGACUGAAAACUGAGUCAUGAGUCCAUUCAUUGUGGUCUUGAUGACAGUAGCUGACGCUGAGAGCUCAGGAUGUGUCCGGUGCUGUGCUUUCCGUUUAAUUUUCGAGUCAUUGGAACUGAGUUCUUUGUUUGUGGAUGGACACCGUCUAGCGAUUUUUCCAUUCUUCCAACCGUGGUUUAAACCCUCAACUUCUUUUUCCCGAGUUCCCUUCCUCUUCCUGGAACUGAAAGCAGGCUUUGCUCUAGCCUGGCUUCCCCUGCUCAGCUCAGCCCUCCGGAGGAGGGGUACCAGUCACCGCCCUCAUCAUCACUGUCCCCGUCCUCCUAAAACCUAUCUUUAAAUCUCACCUCCUCACACUGUGCCCUCUCCAGCCCCUCCCCCUCAUUCCCAGGAAUUUUGGUGUCUGACCUUCAUUUUCUCAAGAGCUCCUGAUAAUAAUAAAAUUCACACCCCUACAAAAUUCCUCUGCCUCUCCUUUCUAUCCAUGGUCUUGUCCUCCACCCAGCCUCAGGCAGUGGCCCCUGUGAAACACAUCCCUUAUGCCUUAUUGUUCCCAGGGGCUUGCCUUCAUCUCAGUUUCAGCCACCCCAGAUUCUAACCGCCACCCCCUGUAUGUCUAGCUCACUUUCUCUGAUACCUCCUGCAGUUCUUCAACUGCAGGAGUUCAGUGGGAAUUGCAUUCAGCCUCUGCUCCACCCUGUCCCUCACGAGCCCCAGGUUCACACUUCCCGACUAUAACGAAUUUAAACUCCAAGAGCAAUACUAAUGGCUUCCAAGAAAACACUCUCAACGCCUGUGCUCUUUUCUUUCUGGUCUCCUUGGCCAGAGUAACCCUGGCGAAGCUAACUCUCUGCUUACUUUGUGCAGACUUCCAAGUACCUUGAGUAGAGUUGC